UCCGGUGACGAUAUCGGAGGGGCCCCACCCGUUCCCAUCCCGAACACGGUCGUUAAGCCCUCCAGAGCCGAUGGUACUGCACUGUUUCAGUGUGGGAGAGUAGGUCGCUGCCGGAG
rnacentral:rRNA from 1 species